rnacentral:lncRNA from 1 species
CUUGGAUUGGGUUUCGACAUUCUCCUGAAUCUUGAUGAUCUUUGUCAUUUUGGCCAUUUCAGCCUGCUAAAGAACCCCUGGUGGGAAAUUAGUGUGUUCAUUUGGAGGAAAGAAGCCACGAUGCCUUUUUGAGUUGUAAGAGUUCUUGUGCUUUUUCUUUCUCAUCAGUGUGGGCUGGUGUUCCUUUAACUAGGGUAUAAAUUGAUUACAGUCAGUAGAUUUCUUUUCUGUGUGUUUUCAGAGGGCCAAGGCUUUGUUCAGUCUUUAUUUGCAGUGAAAUUUUUGUCCUGGGUUUCACAGGGAGGUAUAUUAGCAGAGUAUUUUGGUGUUGAUGUUUUGGGCCGUGAUCCAGUAGGUGGUGCUUAAGCAUAAUUUCCAGUAGGUAGGCUGUUGCUCAGUCAUGUGGCUCUUCACAGUUGUUUCUGUGCUCCCUCUUAGUGCUCUGAAAUCUUGGGCUCCUCUCCCUCUUGAUUGCUGGCUGAAAAUCUUGGCUUGGCACUCCCAAGCUGCACACCACAGCUCUGGGACAAUCUCAAGCUUUAUAUCCCUUCCCAUCUUGGAGGAAUCAGAGGAAGGAAAGUUAGCAGUGGUUGUGACAGAGGGUUUUUCACUUGUCUCUUGGAGCUCCACCUCAGAAAGACGCAGAGCUGCUAUCAAUCAGUAUGAUUGGCCUAGGAUGGGGCAGCUGUGCUGUGAGACCAACCCAUGGCAGACAUCCAGCUGAUCACACUGUGUCCACAUAAGGCAAAUGCUGAGCUGUAAUCCAUCAAGCUGUUUCCGCAUAGAGAAAAGGCCAUAUGAGUACACAGCCAGAAGGUGUCUGCCUACAAGACAAAGAGGGAAAACUUACCUGAAACCAACCCUGAUGGAUAUUGGAUUUCUAAGCUCCAGAACUAAAAGAAUCAGUUUUAGAUUCUUCCGUCACUACAUUUGCUGCCUCGUACAUUUAAUAUGAUGCUCCAAAAUGAGAAAACUGACAAGCAAGCAGAACAGACAUAAUUGCCUGAGAUUUAACUUCAGAAAGCAAAACUAAGUUUCCAAAAUAUCAAAAAUAUUUUAAGUGUUGUUGUAUUUGUUGUUAUAUUAAUACAUGAUUUGGUUUUAUUGAAAUAAAAUAAUAAAUUUUGUAUGUUCAAGUAUCACUUUUCUUCUGCCUUUAUCAAAUUUCUAAAUUGCUUGCAGGUGCAGCUACAUUCACAACAAAUUCCUUUCCUUGAGGUUAUUCUAAUGGCUCCAAUAAGAGAAAAAAAAUCUUCCUCCUAUUACACUGUAUUAAUGACUACUAAUACCACUGAUUUAUUAAUAGAUAUCAGAAAUCAUUGCUGUGUGUUAUUUUGCAUGAAUGGUUUGUAAUUAUUUAUUUAUUUAUUUAUUUAUUUAUUUAUUUACUUUUUGAGGGACGGGGUCUCUCUGUGUUUCCCA